CCUCAUCUCUGGCCCCUCAGGCACUGCUUGAGCUGCAGUACCUUGCAUGAUGCAGAGGUGGAGGCCCACCACCAGCGUGGGCUCUGUGGCAGACAUUUCUGAGGAGCCUGAAGAGCCAUGGGCUUAGGAGUCAAUGCUGCUCCAUCCAGCUCUAAAGGCAUGCCUUACAAUUGAGUGAGUGCUUGGGAGGUUUGGCCUACUCACUGCUCAGCUGAUCAUCCUCGCACUGGACCCAAAGAUGGGAGUUUGUUCUCCCUCAAAGGCAUGAUCCCAUUGCAAACUGUUGACAGUGAGGUGUUGAAAGUGUGCUGCCCACCAAAAGCAAAGCAGAAGUAGCUCUUCUCUGAAGUGAGAGGGCUAUGUUCAGCCUGGGCAUGUGGUGAGGAGAAGGGCGCAGACAGGCCAGAUCUCUUGCUGGGAGGCCACCUAGGGCCCUGCCCUGCUCAGGCCCUGGCAGGCUUAGAGCUGCCAAAUCUUCUGUCAGCUUCCUUCAGAGACACACAUGGCUGCUGUGGGGGGGCUGGACAGAAGAAGGAGAACAGGGAGAAACUACUUACUGCAUAAUGAAGAUGCAGAAAACAUCCUAAAGAAGCAUUUGAGUCUUUUGUGUAGCCCAGAAACAAAUACUGGAUCCGUGAAACUCUGUGGUACAAAAGGAACAGUUCUGCUUAGUAACAGUUAAAUAAGAGAGAAGAAUCGACUGGAGAUUGAAAGCAUAACAUGUGCAGGACAUCUGCAGAUAUUCUCAUGACACAUAAUAAAUUAAAAAGCCCAAAUCUUUGGAGGUUUGAC
rnacentral:lncRNA from 1 species